AACCGCACGGAAAAAUCCAUCUUCCUGUGCGGUCGGGUUAAGUGGACCGCACAGGAUAAUCGAUUAUCCCGUGCGGUC
rnacentral:pre_miRNA from 11 species